rnacentral:rRNA from 1 species
UACGUAGGGUGCGAGCGUUGUCCGGAAUUAUUGGGCGUAAAGGGUGCGUAGGCGGCGCGGUAAGUCGGGUGUGAAAUCUCGGAGCUUAACUCCGAAACUGCAUUCGAUACUGCCGUGCUUGAGGACUGGAGAGGAGACUGGAAUUUACGGUGUAGCGGUGAAAUGCGUAGAUAUCGUAAGGAAGACCAGUGGCGAAGGCGGGUCUCUGGACAGUUCCUGACGCUGAGGCACGAAGGCUAGGGGAGCAAACGGG